rnacentral:rRNA from 1 species
CUACGGGGUGCACCAGUGAGGAAUAUUGCACAAUGGGGGGAACCCUGAUGCAGCAACGCCGCGUGGAGGAUGACGCAUUUCGGUGUGUAAACUCCUUUUAUAUGUCAAGAAAAUGACGGUAGCAUAUGAAUAAGCACCCGCUAACUCCGUGCCAGCAGCCGCGGUAAUACGGAGGGUGCAAGCGUUAGUCGGAAUCACUGGGCGUAAAGGACGCGUAGGCGGGUUGGAAAGUCAGGUGUGAAAUCCUACAGCUUAACUGUAGAACUGCACUUGAAACUUCUAAUCUAGAGUAUGGGAGGGGGAGAUGGAAUUAGUGGUGUAGGGGUAAAAUCCGUAGAUAUCACUAGGAAUACCUAAAGCGAAGGCGAUCUCCUGGAACAUUACUGACGCUAAGGCGUGAAAGCGUGGGGAGCAAACAGGAUUAGAUACCCCGGUAGUC